rnacentral:lncRNA from 1 species
GUCAGAUGUAUAUCACUAGGAUGUUUCCCACUCACCAGUCAGAAGUUGGGUAUCACUAGGGAUGUUUUCCCACUCACUACAUUCAGAAGUUGUGGUAUCACUAGGGAUGUUUUCCCACUCACACAGUCAGAAGUUUGGUUUCACUAGAGACAGUUUUCAACUCAUCACUACAGCAGAUCAGCACCGACAAUGAAAUCGCCCCCUGAAACACACCCACACCCAGACUCAGACUAACACAACAUUAAGGAUACAAUACUGUCGAGGUCAGUGCAUUGGGCUGGGUUCAUACAAACCUCUCUCUGUCCUCCGUAUUGCUUCCUAAUAGCCUACUGUAGUUCCUAUGGAAAGGAGUGCCUGUCAUGAAAAACAUUUAAAAAAAGAGUUCUCCAUCUUCGUACCUCAGGAAACCCUGUGUGUAUUGUUCUCUCACAGAAAAGAAAGACUGUGCAUAUGCAGCCUACUGAACAAUUCUGUAUCCCAACAGAAUAUUGUCAUGGAUUGCCUACUGUAAUGAUGUUCAGAGACCGAACGUCUCAUAUAGCACCACACAUUCAUUACCAACACUCACUAUCCCCCCAUGCUGAAUGUGAUGCACGGUUCAGGGUUCAGUCAGUGCAGUGGCCAAUCUUGGCAAAACCAAGGAAGGUUCCAUUUGAAGCACCUUACAGGGGUAAACCGAGGAAGGGUCCAUUUGAAGCAUCUUACAGGGGUAAACCGAGGAAGGGUCCAUUUGAAGCAUCUUACAGGGGUAAACCAAGGAAGGGUCCAUUUGAAGCAUCUUACAGGGAGGGUUAAACCAAGGAAGGGACCAUUUGAAGCAUCUUACAGGGGUAAUCCAAGGAAGGGACCAUUUGAAGCAUUUUACAGGGGUAAUCCAAGGAAGGGACCAUUUGAAGCACUGUACAGAGGGAUGUCUGACUACAGCAAAGAAAAUAAACACCAAACCCCUCAACCUUCAAAGUUAUCAUCACUUAAAGGUGCUACAGCCCCAAAACCCCAUUUCUCCGUAACAUGA